AUUGAACGCUGGCGGCAGGCCUAACACAUGCAAGUCGAACGAGUGGCGGACGGGUGAGUCAUGUCUGGGAAACUGCCUGAUGGCUGGGGAUAACUACUGGAAACGGUAGCUAUUACCGCAUACCAUCGGAUGAGCCCAGAUGGGAUUAGCUAGUAGGUGGGGUAAAGGCUAACCUAGGCGACGAUCCCUAGCUGGUCUGAGAGGAGGAACGGCCACACUGGAACUGAGACACGGUCCAGACUCCUACGGGAGGCAGCAGUGGGGAAUAUUGCACAAUGGGCGCAAGCCUGAUGCAGCCAUGCCGCGUGUAUGAAGAAGGCCUUCGGGUUGUAAAGUACUUUCAGCGGGGAAGCGUUACCCGCAGAGGAAGCACCGGCUAACUCCGUGCCAGCAGCCGCGGUAAUUC
rnacentral:rRNA from 1 species